GACGAACGCUGGCGGCGUGCUUAAUACAUGCAAGUCGAACGGAAAGGCCCUGCUUUUGUGGGGUGCUCGAGUGGCGAACGGGUGAGUAACACGUGAGUAACCUGCCCUUGACUUGGGGAUAACUUCUGGAAACUGGGGCUAAUACCGGAUAGCAGCUGCUGCUGCAUGGUGGGGGUUGGAAAGUUUCGGCGGCUGGGGAUGGACUCGCGGCUUGUCAGCGUGUUGGUGGGGUAGUGGCUUGCGAAGGCUUUGACGGGUAGCCGGCCUGGGAGGGUGACCGGCCACGUUGGCUACGUGAUGCGGCCAGAGUCCUACGGGGGCCAGCAGUGGGGGCUAUUGCACGAUGGGCGGAAGCCUUAUGCAGCAUCGCCGGGUGGGGGAUGACGGCCUUCGGGUUGUAACCCGUUUUCGCCUGGGACGAAGCGUGAGUGACGGUAAUGGGUAAAGAAGCACCGGCUAACUACGUG
rnacentral:rRNA from 1 species